GAUGAACGCUGGCGGCGUGCCUAAUACAUGCAAGUCGAGCGAACAGACGAGGAGCUUGCUCCUCUGACGUUAGCGGCGGACGGGUGAGUAACACGUGGAUAACCUACCUAUAAGACUGGGAUAACUUCGGGAAACCGGAGCUAAUACCGGAUAAUAUAUUGAACCGCAUGGUUCAAUAGUGAAAGACGGUUUUGCUGUCACUUAUAGAUGGAUCCGCGCCGCAUUAGCUAGUUGGUAAGGUAACGGCUUACCAAGGCGACGAUGCGUAGCCGACCUGAGAGGGUGAUCGGCCACACUGGGACUGAGACACGGUCCAGACUCCUACGGGAGGCAGCAGUAGGGAAUCUUCAGCAAUGGGCGAAAGCCUGACGGAGCAACGCCGCGUGAGUGAUGAGGGUCUUCGGAUCGUAAAACUCUGUUAUUAGGGAAGAACAAAUGUGUAAGUAACUAUGCACGUCUUGACGGUACCUAAUCAGAAAGCCACGGCUAACUACGUG
rnacentral:rRNA from 1 species